GUAACUGUGCGACCUGUCUAAGUUCCGCUUCUGCCCAAGAUUUGUUCCGGAUUAAGUUCCUCCACAACCAAUGUUUCCCUCGAACCAGCUUUCCGUUCGGAUCAACUUUCCGUUUGUGCCAACGUUCCGCCACGAUUAGCGUUCUGCUAUGUCACUUUAGAUUUUCCAGGAACUCAUCUGGAGUGUCCGUGCAGAUCACAGAGGUUAACAUGGCGUCCAUGGCACCGUCAGUCAACCUAAAAGACCUUACACCACCUUCCCAGGGAGGUUUUGCCCAGAGUCUUGCUCUGUUCCCCAGGCUGGAGUGUAGUGGUGGGAUCUCAGUUCACUGCAACCUCUGCCUCCCGGAUUCAAGCGAUUCUCCUGCCUCAGCCUCCUGAGUAGUUGGGAUUACAAACAUGCGCCACCAUACCUAACACCCAACUAAUUUUUGUAUUUUUAGUAGAGAUGGGGGUUUGCCGUGUUGGCCAGGCUGGUCUCGAACUCCUAACCUCAGAUGAUCCACCCGCUUUGGCCUCCCAAAGUGCUGGGAUUACAGGCGUGAGCCACCGUGCCCGGCCUAUUCCCUUACUUUCUUAAUAAACUUGCUUACACUUUG